rnacentral:rRNA from 1 species
AUUGAACGCUGGCGGCAGGCCUAACACAUGCAAGUCGAACGAGUGGCGGACGGGUGAGUAACGUCUGGGAAACUGCUCGAAGGAGGGGGAUAAUUAGUGGAAACGGUAGUUAUUACCGCAUACCUUCGGAUGUGCCCUGAUGGGACUCGCUAGUAGGUGGGGUAACGGCUAACCAAGGAGACGAUCCCUAGCUGGUCUGAGAGGGUGACGGGCCACACUGGAACUGAGACACGGUCCAGACUCCUACGGGAGGCAGCAGUGGGGAAUCUUGCACAAUGGGCGCAAGCCUGAUGCAGCCAUGCCGCGUGUAUGAAGAAGGCCUUCGGGUUGUAAAGUACUUUCAGCGGGGAGGCGUUACCCACAGAAAAAGCAUCGGCUAACUCCGUGCCAGCAGCCGCGGUAAUAC